rnacentral:lncRNA from 1 species
CUGGCGCUGGCAGCGGCCGAGCCGGCUGCGGGGAGCUGGGGGGGCCCCGGGGGGCGGCGGAGCCCACAGCGGCGCGAGGCCGGAGCGCGGGCCGGGCUGGCGGGCGGGCGGGCGGGGCGGGGCCGCGAGCGUGCGCGCGCACCUCACCCUCGGCGCCCGGGGACGCCCACUGGCGGGUCGGGGCGCAGGCCGGCCCGCGCCACCCGCCCCCGCCCCCGCCCGCUUUCCCGGCCCCGUGCAGGCUGCGCGCAACGGGCGUCGGCCCUCGGCGGUGUGCGCCCGGCGGGCCUGGGAGGCAGGGGCCGAGGGCCGAGGACCGGGCCGCAGCCCCGCGCCGCCUCUCCCGCACCCGCCUCUCCCGCGCCCGCCGCUGAGGGCGACCCGAGGCGGCGCCGAGGAGGCCCCCGCGCAGGCCGGCGGGGCCGGGGCCGGGUCCGGGGCCGCCGCCGACCUCUGCCCGGCCGAGGCGCGGCCGCUCCUGCGCGCCCGGGGCCGCCGCCGCCGCCGCCGCCCCCUCAGCGCCGAGCGAGGAAUGAGCAGGCGCCUGCCCCGGGCUCUCGGGCCGCGGGGCCGCGGCUCGGCUUCUUCCCACGCCUCGGAGCCGCGGGGGCCGGGCCGCCGAGGCGGGGCGCGGCGGGGUCAGCGGCGGCCGCGUCCGGGCGGCGGGCGGCGGGGUUAGCUCCGGCGGCGGCGGGAGGAGGAGCCGGGCGGGGGCGGCCGCCGCGCCUCCGCUCCCCUCCCCUCCCCUCCCCUCCCCUCCCCCCGCACACGCCGGGGCUUCUCAGUGGCCGCGCGAGGAGGAAGUUCCGCUCCCCGCCAGACCCGUGCGCUAGCAACAGCGGCGGCGGCUGCGAGGGCGCAGGCUGUCGGGGCGCGGAUGCCCUUCGCGCCGGCCGUCGGGGGGGCGACGGCGGAACGGAGCCCGGAGCCCGAGCCGGAGCCGGAGCCCGAGCCGGAGCCCGGAGCCGGGGGGGCGGCGUCGGCGUCGGCGGGCGCGGGCGAGCGAGGGCCCCUUCCCGGAGCUGGCCCGGCGCCGCGGCUUCGCCUUCCCGGCGGGGCGGGAGACCUGCCUCCUUCCCUGCUGGCCGCCUGCCGAGCGUGG